rnacentral:RNase_P_RNA from 1 species
UAAGUAAAUCAGAUGGCCGCGGAUAAUUUUAUCUGAGGAAAGUCGGAGCUCCAUAGGGCAGGAUGCUGGAUAACGUCCAGUGGGGGCAACCCUAAGGCAAGUGCCACAGAAAUAAACCGCCUCUUUAUGAGGUAAGGGUGGAAAGGUGAGGUAAGAGCUCACCAGCAUUUAGGUGACUAAAUGGCUCGGUAAACCCCAUCCGGAGCAAGACCAAAUAGAGGAACUUUGAAGUUGCCCGCUUCGUUCCCGGGUUAGGUCGCUGGAAGUGGCAGGCAACUGGCACUCAAGAUAGAUGGCUGUCUAAUACAGAACUCCGCUUAUAGAUUUGCUUACUCC